rnacentral:lncRNA from 1 species
AUUAAGGUAACGUGUGUAAAACGUUGAGGAUUAGGGAAUGAUAUGGAAACAUGCUCCGUUUGAGCCUUAUGAAUACUUAGGAUACAAAUGACACGUCAUUAGGGAUUAUACGUUUUUGGGUGCUGGUCUUGGGUGUCUUGUCGAUGGCUAAGGUCCUGCAUUUGUUGUAGAUUCUCCACACCUCGUGUGAGCAGCAUCGUGCAGUCUAACAUCCCGACUCAUAGCUCGUGUGAGUAGGCCC